AUCCUGUUCCCAAGCACUUAAAUGCCGCUGUCCCCCAGCAACUCACACCCGCACCUCUCAAGAGAAGCAGCAGCAUGAAGGCCGUGCCUGCCCUCCUGCUCGUGGGGAUGCUCAUCCUCUGGGCUGAGCUGCCAUCAGGCACUGCCUGGUCCUGCCCUGAGGUCCGCUUCACCUGCGCCUUGGCCAACCCGAGGAACGACUGCUACACUGACCGGCACUGCCCGCGCUUCAAGAAGUGCUGCAAAACCUUCUGUGGGCGGCGAUGCAUCGCACGCCCACCCACCAUCCCCUUGUCCUACGUGUGAGCUGCUGCUCCCAGCACAGCCCAAGGGUGCCUGUGUCCCCGUGCCACCUCCAGCACCGUGCACCUGCAGAAGGACCGCCAGCUUGGGGACGGGGACAGCUUCUUGCUCACACUCCGAGACCUCCUCCGCUGCUAUAUGCCAUCUUCUCACCCUCCCCCUUCAUUCCCCGCUGCUGUUACAACAAAUAAAAGCUUGACCCAGG
rnacentral:lncRNA from 1 species